rnacentral:rRNA from 1 species
AGGGUGUAAACGCUGCAGACUUGGUGUUGGAAGUCCUUUGGGGGCAUUCAGUGCCGGAGAGAAGUUGUUAAGUCUGCUACUUGGGAGUACGUCCGCAAGGAUGAAACUUAAAGGAAUUGGCGGGGGAGCACCGCAACGGGAGGAGCGUGCGGUUUAAUUGGAUUCAACACCGUAAACUCACCAGGGAAGACUGUUACAUGAAAGCCGAGAUGAAGACUCUGCUAGAUUUUUCAGAGAGGAGGUGCAUGGCGUCAGUGACU